UACGUAGGGUGCGAGCGUUGUCCGGAAUUAUUGGGCGUAAAGGGCUCGUAGGCGGUCGUGUUGCGUCGGUAGUGAAAACUCAGGGCUUAACCCUGAGCCUGCUUCCGAUACGGGCAGACUAGAGGUAUGCAGGGGAGAACGGAAUUCCUGGUGUAGCGGUGAAAUGCGCAGAUAUCAGGAGGAACACCGGUGGCGAAGGCGGUUCUCUGGGCAUGUCCUGACGUGAGGAGCGAAAGUGUGGGGAGCGAACAGG
rnacentral:rRNA from 1 species